CAUCAGAAGUUCAUCAUCAGAAAUCUAAACUCACAGUCACCAUGACCUUCAUCAGCAUCUUCAUCUGGAUGUUAACUUGUUUCUGUUUCAGAGAAUCAAGAGGUGAAGUGACCGUCAUUCAGACACCUGCAGUCAAAUCUGUUCAUCUACGAGACACAGUUACUAUCACCUGUAAAACUAAUCCUGAAGUCUAUGAGAGCUCAGGUUAUCACUUUCUGUCCUGGUACUUACAGAAACCUGGAGAAGCUCCUAAACUCCUCAUAUAUUAUGCAAGCACCCUUCAGUCUGGAACUCCAUCAAGAUUCAGUGGCAGUGGAUCAAAGACAGAUUUUACUCUGAGCAUCAGUGAAGUUCAGACUGAAGAUGCAGGAGAUUAUUACUGUAUGAGUGUACACUAUAUCAACAGUAAAUAUGUGUUCACACAGUGAUAAAGAGUCGUACAAAAACCUCCUUCAGUUAGACUGCACAGAUACACCUGACAGAUACUGCAGCUGCAC